rnacentral:rRNA from 1 species
AUCGAACGCUGGCGGCAGGCCUAACACAUGCAAGUCGAACGGUAACAGGAAGCAGCUUUCUGCUUUGCUGACGAGUGGCGGACGGGUGAGUUAUGUCUGGGAAACUGUCUGCUGGAGGGGGGUAACUCCUGGAGACGGUAGCUAAUACAGCAUAACGUCGCAAGAUCAAAGAGGGUGACCUUCGGGCCUCUUGUCUUCCGAUGUGCCCUGAUGGGAUUAGCUUGUUGGUGGGGUGACGGCUCACCAAGGCGGCGAUCCCUAGCUGGUCUGAGAGGAUGACCAGCCACACUAGAGCUGAGGCGCGGUCCAGACUCCUACGAGAGGCAGCAGUGGGGAAGAUUGCUCCAUGGGCGGAAGCCUGAUGCAGCCGUGCCGCGUGUAUGAAGAUGGCCUUCGGGUUGUAAAGUACUUUCAGCGGGGAGGAAGGGAGUAAAGUUCAUACCUUUACUCAUUGACGUUACCCGCAGAAGAAGCGCCGGCUAACUACGUG